rnacentral:rRNA from 1 species
GUAGGGUGCGAGCGUUAAUCGGAAUUACUGGGCGUAAAGCGUGCGCAGGCGGUUUUGUAAGCCAGAUGUGAAAGCCCCGGGCUCAACCUGGGAAUGGCAUUUGGGACUGCAAGGCUUGAGUGCGGCAGAGGAGACUGGAAUUCCUGGUGUAGCAGUGAAAUGCGUAGAUAUCAGGAGGAAUACCGAUGGCGAAGGCAGGUCUCUGGGCUGACACUGACGCUCAUGCACGAAAGCGUGGGGAGCAAACAGGAUUAGAUACCCUGGUAGUCCACGCCCUAAACGAUGUCGACUGGUUGUUGGGGGUUUGACACUCUCAGUAACGAAGCUAACGCGUGAAGUGAGCCGCCUGGGGAGUACGGCCGCWAGGUUA